rnacentral:lncRNA from 1 species
CUGGAAGGAAGUGUUUGCAGUGCUUGAGCAUCUGCCUGCAGCACAGCUAGCAGUGAUUCCUCCAGAGGAAUACUGGGAGUGUGGAGCCCAGCCUGGACUCUCUGAAUUAGCCCCUGGGGGUCCUGUCUUUGCUGUAACACAUCUGGAAAAGAUCAGCCUCACAACAUUUUUUCCUUAUGAGAUGGAGUUUUCUAAAGCUUAGCUUAAAAAGCAUUAGAAAUCCAAAGACGAGCUAUGGAAGAAGCCUACCUACCCAAUAAACAGGUGAGAACAGCAUAAGAACA